UACGGAGGAUGCAAGCGUUAUCCGGAAUGAUUGAGCGUAAAGCGUCUGUAGGUCGUUUCCUAAGUCUCCUGUCAAAGAUCAAGGCUUAACCUUGAAAAGGCAGUGGAAACUGGGAGGCUUGAGUACGGUAGAGGCGGAGGGAAUUCCCGGUGUAGCGGUGAAAUGCGUAGAGAUCGGGAAGAACACCAAAGGCGAAAGCACUCUGCUGGGCCGAAACUGACACUGAGAGACGAAAGCGAGGGGAGCAAAUGGG
rnacentral:rRNA from 1 species